GCCACUGUGGCUUAGCUGGUAGAGCAUCUGAUUCGUAAUCAGAAGGUCGGGAGUUCGAAUCUCCCCAGUGGCU
rnacentral:tRNA from 2 species